UACGUAGGGUGCAAGCGUUGUCCGGAAUUAUUGGGCGUAAAGAGCUCGUAGGCGGUUUGUCGCGUCUGCUGUGAAAACUCGGGGCUUAACUCCGGGCCUGCAGUGGGUACGGGCAGACUAGAGUGCGGUAGGGGAGACUGGAAUUCUUGGUGUAGCGGUGAAAUGCGCAGAUAUCAGGAGGAACACCGGUGGCGAAGGCGGGUCUCUGGGCCGUAACUGACGCUGAGGAGCGAAAGCGUGGGGAGCGAACAGG
rnacentral:rRNA from 1 species